ACGAAACCGAAACAGCCAACCCUAGAAUCGCUCGUUCCCUGUCCCUCCUCCUGUGUGCGGCGCCGCCGCUGCGCACAGGCCACAUCUCCUCGCCCUCCUCCACAUCUCCGGCCAAGGCGCUCACUUCUUCGGCCCUCCUCCACAUCUCCUCGCCUCCACCCCAUCCACUUCCUGUCCAAGACUGUGGCAACGGAGCUCGGCGGCUGCGGCCCUUCUCCAAGACUGCAGCGUGGUGCUCGGCGACUGCGGCAACGGAGCUGAUGGAGCGCGAGCCGACCAGUUCAACUGAGGCAGUAGCAUGGGGCAGCGGCAGCAACAUGGAGGGCGUCCGCUUGACUGGAAAGAGAAAGUAUUUGUUGAUAGUGAGAGUGAGGAUAAUGAUGGGGUGAGUGAGGAUGGGGAAGAUGCUCCAUCCAUGCAUGAUCAGCAAGAGGCGCAAAUGCAAGUGGAAAAAGAGACACAAAUUCAAGUGGAAAAGGACGCACCACCAACAGAUGGCAAUUUGGAGACAUGUAGAUCUGUACGGCUUGUCAAGAAGAAGACCAAGGGCGUCAACAGCCUAUACCCCGCUGCUUAGAAAUCUGCUGGCAAGUAUCUUCUUUCUAGUGUUUUAUGAUUCAUGAUAAUUGCUUAGAAAAUUUUAGUUACUUGGAGCUGCUAGUUUCUUAGAUGUAUAAACUUUCUAUCCAUGCCUAGCCUUCGUUGUCAUGUUAAGCAAUGUAUUUAUGUUAUCCUGAAAUGUUACCACUUGACUAUUGUUGCACUAGACACCUCCCUGUUAGUCCAUUUUAUUUCAUUAUGCAUAAAGUGGAAGAAGAAAAUUCUGAUGUUGAACUACAUCAAUCCUGAUCCUUUCUUUGUUUUCUCUAUAUGAACUAGAAAUGCCACAUGAAGAACUAAGGAUAUCAAGAAGCUUUUGGAUGUAUGCAAGCUUGGAGCUGUUGUUUUAUAGAAAUGGCACUUGAAGAAUAACCAAGGAUAUCAAGAAGCUUUUGGAUGUAGGCAAGCUUGGAGCUGCUGUUUCAAUGUCAUGCUUUGAUAGUUGUCUUUUGGAGCUGUUGUUUCUAUGUGUAAUACUUUAAGUCUGUUGGCUGUACCGGACUAUUUAAACUCUGAACUAUGCUGUGAUGGUUGAACUGAUGUUGGACUGUUAAGGGUUAUGUUGGAGGCCACUUUAUAACUAAUGUGUGCCUGUUAUGUUGGACAGAUGCAGUUUUAUUAAUCCCUGAAGCUUAUUUGC
rnacentral:rRNA from 1 species